ACGAACGCUGGCGGCGCGCCUAACACAUGCAAGUCGAACGGAGCGCAGUGAGCCGAUCCCUUCGGGGUGAGGCAUGCUGUUGCUUAGUGGCGAACGGGUGAGUAACACGUGAGUAACCUACCUCCGAGCGGGGGACAACAUUUGGAAACAGAUGCUAAUACCGCAUAAGACCACAGCCGGGCAUCCGGGAGUGGCCAAAGCAUUUAUGCACUUGGAGAUGGACUCGCGCCUGAUUAGCUAGAUGGUGAGGUAACGGCCCACCAUGGCGACGAUCAGUAGCCGGACUGAGAGGUUGAUCGGCCACAUUGGGACUGAGACACGGCCCAGACUCCUACGGGAGGCAGCAGUGGGGAAUAUUGCACAAUGGGCGAAAGCCUGAUGCAGCGACGCCGCGUGAGGGAAGAAGGUUUUCGGAUUGUAAACCUCUGUCUUCGGGGACGAUAAUGACGGUACCCGAGGAGGAAGCCACGGCUAACUACGUGCCAGCCGCCGCAGUAACAC
rnacentral:rRNA from 1 species